UUUUCUUCUGGAAUGUGUAUGAAUAGGUUGGGAGACUGUGGUUCUGUUUUCCAUAUUUAUAAAUAUUUCUUCAUACAUUCUGCCUUUCUUAUACCACAUUCUAGGAGAAUCCCUCAUUUUUCAGCCCAUUCUGCUGUUUCCCCUUCUUCUGGAUAUUUUCCAUUUCCAAGAUCUCUACUUGGUUCUUUCCCAUAACAUCCUUUUUGUCUCAAGGAUUCAAUUUUCUUUCUUAUUCCUGUGAAGAUUUUAAUUAUGCUCACCUUCUGUGAGUUCUAUUAACUGUUUUUUGCUGUUAGUCCUGUGUUGCAUUUUGUGCUUCUCUUUUAUGAUAUGUUAGUCAUUCUUAGUUCUGUGCACAUCUUUUCCUUUGAGAUUCUCUAUUACCUUGAAUAUGAGAGCUGUUAUUGAAAUUUAAUUCUAGCAACUGUUGGAAAGAAAGACAGGGAUGGGCUUUUAUCUGGCCUUCUGACUGUGGGGAGGCUGUUUCUGGGUAUCAGCAGCUUCGCACGAUGCUGUCUUGACUCUUGUGUCCAAGGGUCUCCCUCUUAGCUGUUCAGGGGCAAAUACUUCUGGUAACCACUGCAUGGCACAAAGUGGGAAGUGGGGAAGGGCAGAACUAUCAGCAUCCUCCUGCCUAACUGUACUGGGUUGAGUAGUGUCCAUCCCAAAAAUUCAUGUUCACCGAGAACCUGUGAACAUGACUUUAUUUGGAAAUUGAGUCUUUGAAGAUGUUCACAAUAUAAGAUGAUACCAUGCUGGAUUAAGGUGGGCCCUAAGUCCAACAUGACUGGUAUCUUUAUAAGAAGAGGAAAUUUGGACACAGACACAAAUACCUGGAGAAGGCCAUGUGAUGACAGAUGCCAAGAUUAGAAUGAUGAGGCGUUCUCUCAUGUCCUGGUGGUUAAGGGUUUGGAAGUGUCACUGCUGUGGAUUGGGUUCAAACCCUGGCCUGGAAACUUCUGCAUGACAUGGCCCCCCCCAAAAAAAAAAUUAGAGCAAUGUAUCUACAAGCCAAAGAAUUCCAAAGAUUGCCAGCAACCAUCAGAAACUAGAAGAGGCAAAGAAGGACACCUUUCCUAGGGACUUCAGCAGAAGCACGGCCCUGCUGACACUUUGAUUUCAGAUUUCCAGCCUCCAAAACUGUGAGAGAAUAAAUUUCUAUUGUUUUAGCCACCCAGUUUGUGAUCAUUUGUUGUAGUAGCCCUAGGAAACUAAUAUACCCUGAAACCCUACUGAUCACCCUUGAAUCCCUCUCCAACCCAUUUUCUGUUUUCCAGUCUUUAACAGAAAUAUUGUCAGUUCCAUGAUAUAAUCCCUCUCCAUCUCCCUAUAGAUGACAAUAAUAAGUUGACCAUUCCCCUUUUCUAAGAGAAGGAAAGUUACCACACAAGACAGUCUUUCCUGUUUGGUUCUUGGCAACUGAACCUCAAUAUGUUCUCUUAGAUAUCAGAUCAUAAUGAUUCCACACUUCAAGUCUCAGUUUACUCAUCUAGAAAACAGAAGCACUAAUACUCCUUAGCCUGCAGAGUCAUUAUGAGGAUCAAAAAAGAUAAGGUUAGUAUAAGAGGUUGCCUGAGUUGGCCAUUGUAUUUUCUCUUAUGCCAAGUGCCACACAGAUAAGAUUAACAAUGAUGAUACAGCAAAAGCAAUAUAUGUUAUUCUAACAUUUAGACCAAUAACCCUAAUUCUGUGAGUAUACCUCAAGAAAAUAACAAACUAUAGAAACAUCUUUAUGUUUGAAAAAAUAUCCAUAAUAGUAAUCCUUAUAAAAGCAAGACAGAGGAGGGAGUUGGGGAACAGGUGAAAAAGGUGAAGACAAUUAAGAAGUAUAAACCUCUAAAUAUAUGUCCUGAUGAUAUAAUGUAUAGCAUAGGGUAUGAUACAGUCAAUAAUAUUGUAAUAACUCUGCGUGGUGACAAAUGGUUCCUAGCCUUAUUGCGGUAAUGUUUCAUAAUGCAUAAAAAUACUGAAUCACUAUGUUGUACACCUGAAAAUAAUACUGUAUGUCAAUUAUAAUUCAAUUUUUUUGGUCAAGCUCAGGACUAUGGCUGUCCAAUAGUUUCCUUAGGUAUUAGUGCCCCUGGUGUUGUGAUGAGGCAGGUACGACUGAGGGACCGGUAUGUGAUCCCCUCUAAUCCUGUCUGUGCGGCUUACUCAACACAUACCUUGAGGUCCCCUCACGUUUGUCUUUAAAGGAGAAAUGUUUUAAGUAACUAAUCAAGCGAAACAAACUAAACAGAUGCUAUCGCCAACUUUGAAUGUGGAAUAAUGUUCCACAUUCCCCGGAAUUCCCUGGAAUAUUCAUGGACCUUGCAAAGGAUCAGAGACCCUUUAUGGGACUCUCAUGGGAUGGAAUGUUUUGUAGCCAUUAAACAGGAUACUUAUGAAGACAACGUAUUACACGAAAAAUAUUAAUGAUCUAAUGCCGCAGGGGAGAGCAGAAUACAAGGUUGUAAGUGCGCUAUGGAAAUGAGAGGAAGCCCACUCAAAACUAUGGAAAAACACUUCUAGAAAAAAAGACAAAAAGGAAAUAUGCAAAAGAAUAAUAAUAACAUGAUGGACAGUGGAAUUAUGGGUAUAUAUAUUUUGCCUAAUUUUUCCAAAGAUCUGUCAUGUGCUUAUAUUACUUUCAUUAAGUAAAUAAUUAUACAGGAAGAAAGGUAAUAGCUCAUGAUCAUUGACCUUUAGCAGCUUUCUGCUAGGUCACCCUUGAUUCAGGUCAUCAUAAAAGGAAAUGCAGAUCCACACAUACUCUAUAGUCAGAAAUCUCGAAGUUAAAUG
ensembl:lncRNA